rnacentral:ncRNA from 1 species
GAGAUAGAGGUCGCGUUCUUUAUCAGUAUCCCGCCGGAUGUGUCAGGCGCAGGCGAUGACGGGAGAAAGGAAAGGAUGCCGAAGAGGCAGAGUUCCUGAACCUUUGCCUUUGGGCAUGCCGGCGAAAGCGGUAUGACUGUCAUCGUAUGAUGGAGAGCUAUCCU